rnacentral:rRNA from 1 species
GAACGGGUGAGUAACACGUGGGCAAUCUGCCCUGCACUCUGGGACAAGCCCUGGAAACGGGGUCUAAUACCGGAUAUGAGCCUGGGAGGCAUCUCCCGGGUUGUAAAGCUCCGGCGGUGCAGGAUGAGCCCGCGGCCUAUCAGCUUGUUGGUGAGGUAAUGGCUCACCAAGGCGACGACGGGUAGCCGGCCUGAGAGGGCGACCGGCCACACUGGGACUGAGACACGGCCCAGACUCCUACGGGAGGCAGCAGUGGGGAAUAUUGCACAAUGGGCGAAAGCCUGAUGCAGCGACGCCGCGUGAGGGAUGACGGCCUUCGGGUUGUAAACCUCUUUCAGCAGGGAAGAAGCGAGAGUGACGGUACCUGCAGAAGAAGCGCCGGCUAACUACGUGCCAGCAGCCGCGGUAAUACGUAGGGCGCAAGCGUUGUCCGGAAUUAUUGGGCGUAAAGAGCUCGUAGGCGGCUUGUCACGUCGAUUGUGAAAGCCCGAGGCUUAACCUCGGGUCUGCAGUCGAUACGGGCUAGCUAGAGUGUGGUAGGGGAGAUCGGAAUUCCUGGUGUAGCGGUGAAAUGCNCANAUAUCANGNAGGAACACCGGUGGCGAAGGCGGAUCUCUGGGCCAUUACUGACGCUGAGGAGCGAAA